UACGAAGGGGGCUAGCGUUGCUCGGAAUUACUGGGCGUAAAGCGCACGUAGGCGGCUACACAAGUCAGAGGUGAAAGCCCGGGGCUCAACCCCGGAACUGCCUUUGAAACUAGGUGGCUAGAAUCUUGGAGAGGUCAGUGGAAUUCCGAGUGUAGAGGUGAAAUUCGUAGAUAUUCGGAAGAACACCAGUGGCGAAGGCGACUGACUGGACAAGUAUUGACGCUGAGGUGCGAAAGCGUGGGGAGCAAACAGG
rnacentral:rRNA from 1 species